AUUGAACGCUGGCGGCAGGCCUAACACAUGCAAGUCGAGCGGAUGAAGGGAGCUUGCUCCUGGAUUCAGCGGCGGACGGGUGAGUAAUGCCUAGGAAUCUGCCUGGUAGUGGGGGAUAACGUCCGGAAACGGGCGCUAAUACCGCAUACGUCCUGAGGGAGAAAGUGGGGGAUCUUCGGACCUCACGCUAUCAGAUGAUCCUAGGUCGGAUUAGCUAGUUGGUGGGGUAAAGGCCUACCAAGGCGACGAUCCGUAACUGGUCUGAGAGGAUGAUAGUCACACUGGAACUGAGACACGGUCCAGAAUCCUACGGGAGGCAGCAGUGGGGAAUAUUGGACAAUGGGCGAAAGCCUGAUCCAGCCAUGCCGCGUGUGUGAAGAAGGUCUUCGGAUUGUAAAGCACUUUAAGUUGGGAGGAAGGGCAGUAAGUUAAUACCUUGCUGUUUUGACGGUACCAACAGAAUAAGGACCGGCUAAAUUCGUG
rnacentral:rRNA from 1 species